rnacentral:rRNA from 1 species
CAGUAGCCGCGGGAAUACGGAGGGGGCUAGCGUUGUUCGGAAUUACUGGGCGUAAAGCGUACGUAGGCGGUUUUGUAAGUUAGAGGUGAAAGCCCGGAGCUCAACUCCGGAAUUGCCUUUAAGACUGCAUCACUUGAACGUCGGAGAGGUGAGUGGAAUUCCGAGUGUAGAGGUGAAAUUCGUAGAUAUUCGGAAGAACACCAGUGGCGAAGGCGGCUCACUGGACGACUGUUGACGCUGAGGUACGAAAGCGUGGGGAGCAAACGGGAUUAGAUACCCCAGUAGUCCCUGUCUCUUAUAC